CUUUUGUGGUUGUCUACGCUCUGUGGAGAAGAUGGGGCCAUGUCUGUUUCCUUCUCCUCUUCACCUUCCUCCUCUGCCAGUUCAAAGUCUUCAUCAUCAUGGAAACUGUCUCCAUUUUCCUCUGCUUCCAGCACUCUCUGAGGAGUGCAAACACACAUGGGUUUAAAUUAGAGCUACACAAGAUAUAAAAAGCAGGCUGUCCCCCCUCAAGAGGGCCUCCAAGGCUGUGGCCUCCCCUGGUGGCCCCUCACGCUUGGGGGCUAGCUCUGCUUCUAUAAAGUCGAAGCUCACACAGGCGGAGCUGGGGAUCCAGGGGAGGGUGGAGUCGCCUCUUCUUUCUCCAGCAACGAGCAGGAUACAUGUGGUACUAAUAUCAACACAAUCAUGAUCAGCAAGG